rnacentral:rRNA from 1 species
AGAGUUUGAUCCUGGCUCAGAUUGAACGCUGGCGGCAUGCCUAACACAUGCAAGUCGAACGGAAACGAUGCUAGCUUGCUAGCAGGCGUCGAGUGGCGGACGGGUGAGUAAUAUAUAGGGAUCUGCCUAAUAGUGGGGGACAACGUGUGGAAACGCACGCUAAUACCGCAUACGCUCUACGGAGGAAAGUGGGGGAUCUUCGGACCUCAUGCUAUUAGAUGAACCUAUAUCGGAUUAGCUUGUUGGUGAGGUAAUGGCUCACCAAGGCGACGAUCCGUAGCUGGUUUGAGAGAAUGAUCAGCCACACUGGGACUGAGACACGGCCCAGACUCCUACGGGAGGCAGCAGUGGGGAAUAUUGCACAAUGGACGAAAGUCUGAUGCAGCAAUGCCGCGUGUGUGAAGAAGGCCUUCGGGUUGUAAAGCACUUUCAGAUGUGAGGAAAAGCAACCUAUUAAUACUAGGUUGCCGUGACGUUAACAUCAGAAGAAGGACCGGCUAACUCCGUGCCAGCAGCCGCGGUAAUACGGAGGGUCCAAGCGUUAAUCGGAAUUACUGGGCGUAAAGCGCGCGUAGGCGGAUAAUUAAGUCAGAUGUGAAAUCCCUGGGCUCAACCUAGGAACUGCAUUUGAUACUGGUUAUCUAGAGUAUGGUAGAGGUGAGUGGAAUUUCAGGUGUAGCGGUGAAAUGCGUAGAGAUCUGAAGGAACAUCAGUGGCGAAGGCGACUUACUGGGCCAUUACUGACGCUGAGGUGCGAAAGCGUGGGUAGCAAACAGGAUUAGAUACCCUGGUAGUCCACGCCCUAAACGAUGUCAACUAGGUGUGUGAGAGUCUAACUCUUGCGUAUCGAAGCUAACGCGAUAAGUUGACCGCCUGGGGAGUACGGUCGCAAGACUAAAACUCAAAUGAAUUGACGGGGGCCCGCACAAGCGGUGGAGCAUGUGGUUUAAUUCGAUGCAACGCGAAGAACCUUACCUGGCCUUGACAUGUAGUGAACUUACCAGAGAUGGUAUGGUGCCUUCGGGAACCACUAACAACAGGUGCUGCAUGGCCUGUCGUCAGCUCGUGUCGUGAGAUGUUGGGUUAAGUCCCGCAACGAGCGCAACCCCUGUCCUUAGUUGCCAUCAUUUAGUUGGGCACUCUAAGGAGACUGCCGGCGACAAACCGGAGGAAGGUGGGGAUGACGUCAAGUCAUCAUGGCCCUUAUGGCCAGGGCUACACACGUGCUACAAUGGCUAGUACAAAGGGUUGCCAACUCGCGAGAGUGAGCUAAUCCCAUAAAGCUAGUCGUAGUCCGGAUUGGAGUCUGCAACUCGACUCCAUGAAGUCGGAAUCGCUAGUAAUCGCGGAUCAGAAUGCCGCGGUGAAUACGUUCCCGGGCCUUGUACACACCGCCCGUCACACCAUGGGAGUGGGUUGCAAAAGAAGUGGGUAGACUAACCUUCGGGAGGUCGCUCACCACUUUGUGAUUCAUGACUGGGGUGAAGUCGUAACAAGGUAACC